GCGCCACUAUCGAUAGGCAUCUAUCGCACCAAAGCAACCCUUCGGCGAGCUGUCAAAUAGACACGCGAGCCUAGCACGCCGACUUCCGUUUUAUAUUCGUUCUUUCGUUCUCAAACCGUCGUCCAGACCAGAAGGAAAAUGAGAGCUAAGUGGCGUAAGAAGCGUAUGCGUAGGUUGAAGCGUAAGCGCAGAAAGAUGCGUGCAAGGUCC